AACGAACGCUGGCGGCAUGCCUAACACAUGCAAGUCGAACGACACCUUCGGGUCUAGCGGCGCACGGGUGCGUAACGCGGGGGAAGCUGGCCUUAGGUUCGGAAUAACUCCUUUAAAGGGGUGCUAAUACCGGAUAAUAUCCUCGGACCACACAUUCAUCGCCUUUGGAUGGGCCCGAGUUGGAUUAGCUGGUUGGGAGGGUAAAAGCCUAUCAAGGCGACGAUCCAUAGCUGGUCAGAGAGGAUGAGCAGCCACACUGGGGCGGGGAUGCGGUGCAGAAUCCUGCGGGAGGGAGGAAUGCGUGAUACAGGAAAAUGGGCGGAGGGAAGAAGGAGCUAGGGCGGGAAAGUGAUGUAGGCCGGAGAGAUGUAAAGCUCUUUUACCCGGGGUGAUAAUGACAGUACCGGGAGAAUAAGCUCCGGCUAACUACGUG
rnacentral:rRNA from 1 species